GCAAGUCGAACGGAGCACCCUUGACGGAGUUUUCGGACAACUGAUAGGAAUGCUUAGUGGCGGACCGGUGAGUAACGCGUGAGGAACCUGCCUUUCAGAGGGGGACAACAGUUGGAAACGACUGCUAAUACCGCAUGAUACAUUUGGGCGGCAUCGCUUGAAUGUCAAAGAUUUUAUCGCUGAAAGAUGGCCUCGCGUCUGAUUAGCUAGUUGGCGGGGUAACGGCCCACCAAGGCGACGAUCAGUAGCCGGACUGAGAGGUUGACCGGCCACAUUGGGACUGAGAUACGGCCCAGACUCCUACGGGAGGCAGCAGUGGGGAAUAUUGGGCAAUGGACGCAAGUCUGACCCAGCAACGCCGCGUGAAG
rnacentral:rRNA from 1 species